CCUACGGGAGGCAGCAGUGGGGAAUAUUGGACAAUGGGGGGAACCCUGAUCCAGCCAUGCCGCGUGUGUGAAGAAGGCCCUCGGGUUGUAAAGCACUUUCAGUGAGGAAGAACGCCUGGUGGUUAAUACCCAUCAGGAAAGACAUCACUCACAGAAGAAGCACCGGCUAACUCCGUGCCAGCAGCCGCGGUAAUACGGAGGGUGCGAGCGUUAAUCGGAAUUACUGGGCGUAAAGCGCGCGUAGGUGGCUUGAUAAGCCGGUUGUGAAAGCCCCGGGCUCAACCUGGGAACGGCAUCCGGAACUGUCAAGCUAGAGUGCAGGAGAGGAAGGUAGAAUCCCCGGUGUAGCGGUGAAAUGCGUAGAGAUCGGGAGGAAUACCAGUGGCGAAGGCGGCCUUCUGGACUGACACUGACACUGAGGUGCGAAAGCGUGGGUAGCAAACAGGAUUAGAUACCCCGGUAGUC
rnacentral:rRNA from 1 species